GUCCCCUGCCUCAGGAGGAUUGUUGAAAGCUCCAGAAGCAACCUGAACCUGGGAGCAGCGGGCCUGAAAUCUCUCUGAGUCAUGGCUAGCCCAAAGGUGUAGGACCCUCACAUGGAGACAAGGUGUACAGCUGCCUACGGCUGGGCUGCAGCAAGUUCAGGCAUCAGGACAGUGGAGUUGUCACUGUCUCAAACCCCAAAACCCCAGCUUUGUAGGAGAGCCCAGCAGGCACCACUGCAGGGGAAUAGGGAAGGCGCAGGAGAGCUGAGAGGAGAUCUUUCUGCUGUUCAGAUGGGACUGAGGAGCUCAGUAGCCAAGUGUGGCUGGCCAGGACCUCUGUGGCUGGCUGGAGGAUGACAUGAGGAUGAUGCCAACAUGGAGCAUUGGCUGUUGGGUCAACAGGGCAAGGCCACUAAGGGAAGCAGCCCCUGCGAUGAGCCCCUCACCUGCCUGUCACAACACCGGAGCUGAGGCUGACCUCUCACAGGCUGGAAAGGAGCG